CCUUGCAUCUUUUAUUAAACGCCCCACCUCCAGGAGAACGUGCCUUUCACGACUGAGAGAGGUGGCAACCCCUUCGCCGGGUAGGCGGUGAAGUCACCAUGGGCAGGCAGUUGGCGGGUGACCUCGGUCGUGAAAAGCUUGAGUGUGGGCUGAGGGAGAUUAUUGUACCUUAUGAAUUUGGUGCUUUUUAUACGUUCACUGUGUUGUAAACCCUGUUUUGAUUAUAUUGAACUCCGCCGUGAUUCUGUGCACCGUAUAACAGACAAUAAAGCAGUCGAAGACGGAUCCUGGUCUCUCUUUACUCCUGCAGAACUUGGAGGUUAAUUUUGCCCGGCUUUCCCCUCAUGCCCAUAUUCAUGGCCUAUAAUUUGCGACUGAGGAAUAUUCGUCAGCUCCUGUAGCAAGGGAAAUCGCGCAGGCACCAGUCGUCCCAGGAUGCUGUGGUUGGGUGCUGCCUGCCUGGAUGACUGCAGAUCCAGUCAACUCAAUGCCCGACGUGGUAAGGUUGGCCUAGCCUUUGCCUCAGGCAGGUCGGCCUGACACAUGACCCCGCGCUCACCCAUAGACAUCGUCUUGUGUGUUCCCUUACUGUGCUGUACUCUUCAUCAAUAAAGAGUCAGGCC